GGACUGUGAGGCUUAGCAAAGCUCCAGUUCUGUGCUGUGAGAGACAUUAAAUUAUUUCUGUAUUCAGAGUAGCCAGUCUAGCUUCUGUGUCUAAAUUUAGUGUUUAUCCAAAGGUUCAUCUUUAUACCUCUUAUUUCUUAGGAAUUUAAUGAGUCUAUGUUGUCUGUUUUCCUAUGCCUUUCAGCUCAAGCAAUGUGUUAGUGUCACUUUUUUCCCUUAGAUCUUAAUAGGAUCAAAAAAUUAUAAUUCUUUGAAGAAAGAAAGGGAUUAAGUAAUUUUUUUCCCUUAUACUUUCUUAAAGGUCAGGGGCUUUAUCUAUGAAAAAGUAGUAUGUAGUUAUUUGUAACUUGUACAAAGCAGCAGCCAGCCUUAAAACAGUCCAUUCUGGCUAAAUGUUAGAACAUUGAAUUCUAAUGUACUUUUUGGGGGCUGCUGUUAGUUUAUUUUAAUCAAAAUGACUAGAUGAUAGGACUUAAGAACUUACUACAUGUUACUUGGUGUACUGAUAAUCAUUUAAGAGUAAAA